rnacentral:rRNA from 1 species
GUAGGGAAUAUUGCGCAAUGGGGGAAACCCUGACGCAGCGACGCCGCGUGAGUGAUGAAGGCCUUCGGGUCGUAAAGCUCUGUCGCAGGGGAAUAAAAAAAUGAAGGUACCCUGUGAGGAAGGAUCGGCUAACUUCGUGCCAGCAGCCGCGGUAAGACGAGGGAUCCUAGCGUUGCUCGGAAUCAUUGGGCGUAAAGAGGGCGUAGGUGGCUUGGUAAGUCAGGUGUGAAAGCCCAGGGCUCAACCCUGGAAGUGCAUUUGAUACUGCUGAGCUUGAGUGUCGGAGGGGUUACCGGAAUACCUGGUGUAGUGGUGAAAUACGUAGAUAUCAGGUGGAACACCGGAGGCGAAGGCGGGUAACUGGACGAACACUGACACUGAGGCCCGAAAGCGUGGGGAUCAAACAGGAUUAGAAACCCCUGUAGUCC